GCUAUUUUGGCAGAUUAGUGCAAUAAAUUUAGAAUUUAUUAAUAUAGUUUAUACUAUAAAUAGUA
rnacentral:tRNA from 1 species